CCCCAGACUAAGUGCUUCAUCUGCGGAAUAGGAAGUGACUACUUUGACACGACUCCGCAUGGAUUUGAAACACAUACUCUGGAAGAGCACAAUUUGGCCAACUACAUGUUCUUCCUGAUGUAUUUAAUCAAUAAAGAUGAGACGGAGCACACUGGACAGGAAUCGUAUGUGUGGAAGAUGUACCAGGAGCGAUGCUGGGACUUCUUCCCAGCCGGUGACUGUUUCAGAAAGCAAUAUGAGGAUCAGCUCGGCUAACUCUCAGUGCCAUAGAGUAUAUGAUAUAGUGUGUGUGCUUGUGUGUGUGUGUGUGAGGGCGUGGGGGUGUGUCUGAGGAAAAUAAUGCCAACAAAGUAGUAAUGCCAUCUAAAAAAAACAAGAAACAGAAACGAAAUUUUUAUUUUUUCAAUUUGAGUAACUAAACUACCCAUACUCUGAAGCACACACUCACACCCUGAGCCUUUUACCUACCUGUGUGUGUGUGUGUGUGUGAGUGCGUGAGUGAAUAAGUGAAAGAGAGUGUGAGUUGAGAGAUGAAUAAUAAGCAGUGUGUGUGUUUUUUUGUGUGUGAAAGAGAGAGAGGGAGCAGAAUGAGGACGAUUGUACACACAGCCUUUCUAUUUUAUUAUUGAGGGAAAAUGUUUAAAGGAUAAAACGAUCCCUCGGUUCCUCCCUCCUUCUCUCAGUCCCGUCUUCGUGUCGUUACGGAUCUUAAAACAUCACAGUGCCUAAUACUGAAUCAGCUACAAUGAUGAGAAGUAUGAAGAUAUUCUACUGCUUUAUUGGGAGUCAGUAUUGAUCUUUUUUUAGACGCAGUAAGUGAAUGAGUAUUUAAGACUUUAGUGUAAAGUAUGUACGUUUUUUGUCUAUAUUUAUUUAUGUGUAUAUAGACGUUACACGUGCCGGAGCCACAGAACUAGAGCCACUUCACUGCUGAUCUCCUGCUCUGUGAGCUACUCACGGUUUUAAUCCAGGCUGUUGCUCUGUGCGGCGGUAAAUAUAUAUAUGACCGUUUGUAUAGAAACACACUUCUUAUGAGAAAAGAAAGAAACUCUAAAUGCCUUCCUCACUCCGUUUCUUUCUGUAGACGAUUUCUUAUAAACUACUUAAACUACGAACUCUCUUUUUUAACUGUUGUUGGUGGUGAGACAUGAGCUUUGAGCCAGUACUUUGUACUUAUCUUCAACAACCUAUUCUGCACUCCAAAGUCUUAGGAUGAGACACUGUUUCCAUCCCCCUGUUACACACAUUUUUCUUUUACUUACUUCUACAGAAACACUGUUAGCUGGAAAAGUCCAGCAAACGGAUGUAUGAAAAUAUAGAAAUACAGUAUUUACGGCCUCCUGUCUACACUCUUAAAAAUAAAGACGCUUCAGGUGUUUUUUUAAUAGAUGCCGUUAAUAGAGGUUCUACCAUUUAUUAAAAUUGACUAAAUUUUAAUGACUAGGGAUAUUGUAAAUAAUAGUUAAUUGAGACGUUUCUUUAGACCUUUUAAAGGUCCUUCACACUCACAAACCAGAAAAAAAAAAAAAUUCUCCCCCGAUACCAAAUAUUAAUCUUCCAAAAUCUGGUGUUUAUUAGACGCUCACUCAUCACUUGGAACGCUGCCCCAGAAGUGGGCCAGAUGCGUUGCCAGAAAUUGUAAUUCUAAAAAAUCUGUUUGUUACACUAGUGGUUCGGGAAAAUGUUUAGGUAUAAUUAUUUUAUUUAUUUAUUUAAUUUUGGAGGGGUGUGAGGAGAGCGCGCCAUCUACCUACCCAGAGAGAGCAAGGCCAAUUGUGCUCUCUCAGGGCUCCGGUAGCUGAUGGCAAGCUGCAUGACCAGGAUUCAAACCAGCGAUCUCCUGAUCAUAGUGGCAGCACUUAGCCCAAGGUAUAAUUAUUUUAAAAUAUAAUUUUUAUGCUAAAUGUUAUGAAAAACUGUUUAUGAAUAUAUAAAGGUUUGUAUUUUUAUUAAUCAAAUGUAAAUCAAAGGAAUUUAUAUAUAUUUUUUAAAAAAUUGGUUCAGCAUCUAGCCAACAAAACUAUAUCUGGCCCACUUCUGGACCAUCGUUUCCUGUGGCAUAUGGGCCGAUAAUAAAUGCCGGAUGUGGUCCAGGUUGGUCCACAUUAAUGUUGUUAUCAGGGUGUGUGACAUUUAUUAAAGAACCACUUGAUGCAGUUUUAAUUUUUAAUAUGUGUUUCAGGCUAAAUUCAGACUGCCAGCACAAAUCUGAUUUUGCCAUAUCUAGAUUAUAUUCUGAUUGAUUUUUAAUAGACUAGGCAGCAACAAAUCAUGAGUUGGUUUACAAUCUGACCUGUAUGGUGGCUUUUUAGCGUCAUCUCAGCAGAUCUGAUUGGAGAAACAGCUCUGAUUCGCCUGCAGUCUAAACACAGCCUGAGACUAAGAAGUACCGUAUCCUACACACAGACUGAGGUCUGACUGAACAAAUAACUUAUUUUGUCAAAAUAAAUAUAUAGAGAUGAUCUAUUUUUGCUUUGGAUUAUUCAGAUGUUCUAAGUGAAUAUUUAUUGUGUACUUUUUUUUUGAGAAAAUAAAGAAAUUAGUAGUACAAGAUAAAGAAAGAGAGCAACAUAGCUGUAGAGGGUUUUAUUUUGCCUGCAGACGUUUGUUCCUUUCAGUCCUGUGCCACACUUUAUACUUUUUACCAAAUAAAGAACCACAGCGUUGUUAGAUCUCUCCUAUUCGUGCUUCACAAGAAGUCACCGAUAGUAAAAUGCAGAGAGGCGACAGCAAUGCUUAAAUACAUACCGGCUUAAAUACAUACACACGUGGUGUGGUGCGAGAUUGUGUGUGAGAUGAUGUAUCAGAACCGUGUGCCUGUAUGAACUGCUCUGAAAGCAGCAGGAGAGAGUUUGUUUUUCUUUAAACCUGAAUGAAUAUCUGCCAGAAUCCUGUUUCAAUAAAUAAUAUUAAACUGAUUUCAGUAUUUUAAGAACAA